rnacentral:rRNA from 1 species
CCUACGGGAGGCAGCAGUGAGGAAUAUUGGUCAAUGGACGGAAGUCUGAACCAGCCAUGUCGCGUGCAGGAUGACGGCCCUAUGAGUUGUAAACUGCUUUUGUACGAGGGUAAACCUCAAUACGUGUAUUCUGUUGUAUGUACCAUAUGAAUAAGGAUCGGCUAACUCCGUGCCAGCAGCCGCGGUAAUACGGAGGAUCCAAGCGUUAUCCGGAUUUAUUGGGUUUAAAGGGUGCGUAGGCGGAUUGUUAAGUCAGUGGUGAAAUGUUCGGGCUUAACUCGGGAAUUGCAUCUGAUACUGUGUGUCUAGAGUGUAGAUGCGGUAGGCGGAAUGUGUGGUGUAGCGGUGAAAUGCUUAGAUAUCAUGCAGAACUCCGAUUGCGAAGGCAGCUUAC